rnacentral:rRNA from 1 species
AUACCGAACACUAUGGUAGUAUGGGUUAAUAUAUUGUCGCGUCGUCACUUGAAUACCAAAGGUGAGCCAGUACAGGAUGGACCCGCGUCUGAUUAGCUAGUUGGUAAGGUAACGGCUUACCAAGGCGACGAUCAGUAGCCGACCUGAGAGGGUGAUCGGCCACAUGGGAACGGAGACACGGUCCAAACUCCUACGGGAGGCAGCAGUGGGGAAUAUUGCACAAUGGGCGAAAGCCUGAUGCAGCAACGCCGCGUGAGUGAUGAAGGCCGUCGGGUCGUAAAACUCUGGCCUCAAGGAAGAUAAUGACGGUACUUGAGGAGGAAGCCCCGGCUAACUACGUGCCAGCAGCCGCGGUAAUACGUAGGGGGCUAGCGUUAUCCGGAUUUACUGGGCGUAAAGGGUGCGUAGGCGGUCUUUCAAGUCAGGAGUGAAAGGCUACG